GUGAAUCUUCAAAAGUCGGCUCGUAGGAUUGUGCUGGUGGAGACACAUGUGCACGUCUUGUGAGUCGCAAACCCACACACCUGUGCAUCUAUGACUCUGAGUGCCGCUUUGCAUGGCCUUGACCGGCCUGGCGCUCGAGUACUUUUCCACACACUCUGGAAUGUAAAGGAAUGUCUUGUUGUGCUUAAUGUACAAAUUGAAA
rnacentral:misc_RNA from 1 species